rnacentral:sRNA from 1 species
AAGAAUCGGAUCUGCCGCCUCCUCCCUGAAAAGGCAGAUCUGACAGACCCCACGCCCUACCUCCUCCCGGGGUACGGGGUCAUGAUUAAGGCGGCGGCAUCCACCUCCUCCCGGGUGCCGCCGCUUUAU